AACGCUGGCGGCGCGCUUAACACAUGCAAGUCGAGCGAGAACCAGGACUUCGGCCCUGGGGACAGCGGAGAACGGGUGAGUAACACGUGGGUAAUCUGCCCUCGGUUCUGGGAUAGCCCGGGGAAACCCGGAUUAAUACCGGAUAGCCUCGUAGGCCUUCGGGCCUUCGAGAAAAGGUAGCUUCGGCCUCCGACCGAGGAUGAGCCCGCGGCGGAUUAGCUUGUUGGCGGGGUAACGGCCCACCAAGGCGACGAUCCGUAGCUGGUCUGAGAGGACGAUCAGCCACACUGGGACUGAGACACGGCCCAGACUCCUACGGGAGGCAGCAGUGGGGAAUCUUGCGCAAUGGGCGAAAGCCUGACGCAGCGACGCCGCGUGGGGGAAGAAGGCCUUCGGGUUGUAAACCUCUUUCAGGUGGGACGAAGCCACUCGGGUGAAUAGCCCAGAGGGUGACGGUACCUCCAGAAGAAGCCCCGGCUAACUACGUGCCAGCCGCCGCCGUAAUAC
rnacentral:rRNA from 1 species